rnacentral:tRNA from 2 species
GCGGUCAUAGUAUAGCCUGGUCAGUAUGUUGGCCUUCCAAGCCAAUCACCCGGGUUCAAAUCCCGGUGACCGCA